rnacentral:rRNA from 1 species
UACGUAGGGAGCAAGCGUUGUUCGGAUUUACUGGGCGUAAAGGGCGCGUAGGCGGCCAAUUAGGUCAGCUGUGAAAUCUCCGAGCUUAACUCGGAACGGUCAGCUGAUACUGAUCUGCUAGAGUGCGGAAGGGGCAAUCGGAAUUCUUGGUGUAGCGGUGAAAUGCGUAGAUAUCAAGAGGAACACCUGAGGUGAAGACGGGUUGCUGGGCCGACACUGACGCUGAGUGCGCGAAAGCCAGGGGAGCAAACGGG